UGGAAAAUGUGAGACAUUCAAUUGUUUUCUACAAUUUAAUAUCAUAAAGAAUUGGUAUCAAUCAGAGUUUGUUUAUUUCUCCAUUUGUGUUAACAUCUAUAGAGAGCAUGAUCUUUGUUGUGGUCGAUUUAAUUUAAUUGUUUCUACAAUUAACUGAGUGACUUUUAAUUUGUUUACCAAUAGACAUUUAAAUUUGUGUUCUUUUAAAUUGCCGUUAAAUUGUUUGGAAAGCUGAUUUUUUUAUGAUAAAUAAUUUCCAACGUUGAAACUCAUUCAAAUUUUAUUGUUUCCAUGGUUAUUCUUACACCCAAGCAGUUGGAACUGAAACUUGUUUAUCUUUCAUUUUUUUUCGCUUCCUUCAUUGCUCUUUCUUUCUUUCUCUCUUUCUUUUUCCUUUCUCUGUAAUUGAUGAUAAACAUUUUCUCUUCUCUUUUGAUUACAUAAUAGAUUCUGUUGUGAUUAGUGUUUUCUAUUCUUUUUCUGAUUAACCAUCGAUUCAUGUCUCAACCACCAAUUUCUAAUCCGGUGUUGCCAUUCAUUGGUUCACUUAAUUAUGCUCAUCCUGGUCUUCUAUUAAGGAUUCAAGGAAGAGUCAACCCUUCAUCGAGAUGUUUUGCGAUUAACUUACAAUGUGGCCCAUCGGUAAAUCCUCGAGAUGAUAUCGCUCUGCAUUUCAGUCCAGUAUUUGCUCCACCACCUCGAGUUGUACGUAACUCAUUGGAAAAUGGCCGCUGGGGACCAGAAGAAAGUCAUGGACCUUUUUUCCCGUUCGCAGUUAAUGAACCUUAUGAAUUAAUUAUUCUAUUCGAUCAUGAUGGUUUUAAAAUAGCAAUAAAUGGUGCACACUUUACAGAGUUUCGCCAUAGAAUAUCAAUGCAUAGGAUAAGUCACAUUUCAAUUGAUGGUGAAACUCAAAUAUCUCGUAUUUCAUUUGAAGAUAAUCCAAUACCCUCGGCACCUCCUCUUGAAGCUCCUUAUCCUUCAGGACCCGUUGGAAUGCCUCCUUAUUCAGCUGGACCAUCAGCUGCCAGUGCUUUACCCUAUCCCACUGGACCUUCAUCAGCGAUGCCCCCAUAUCCACCUACUUCAGCACCAGCAGCUUAUCCACCCGCUCCAUAUCCACCAUCAGGUCCACCCCCUGGACCUUCACCAUACCCUCAAGCAGGAUAUCCACCGCCGACAGCUGGUCGAGUCCAACCUAUGCCAGGAUCUGCACCACCAGGAGCUUACGGUCCUCCACAACCUUCACCUUAUCCACCUCAGCCAACUCAAGGAGCCUAUCCAACUCAAGGUGGUUAUCCAGUUCAACCAGGUCAAGGAUAUCCAACCCAAGGAGGUUAUCCCACCCAAGGGGGUUUUCCCACUCAAGGUGGUUACCCUUACCCUCCAAAAGCUUCAUCAAGUGGUGGGAUUUUGUCUGGAGCUGCAGCGGCACUCGGAGCGGGCUCCAUGUUAGGUGCCGGGGCUAAAUAUCUUUCCGGUGGAGGACAUCACAAGAAAUCAUCACCAAUACCAAUCGGAGGUAUCGCCGCUGGACUUGGUGCUGCAGCUUUAGGAGCUGCUGUUAUGCACAAACCGAUGAAAAAAUUGAAAAAAUUAUACAAACACAAAUUUAAAGGACCAAAAUUUUUUAAGCACAAAUUUCACCACAAAUUUGGUGGUUUUAAACACAAAGGAUGGAGCAGCAGUUCAUCUAGUGAUUAAAUCACAAGACUGUUUCAUUCAUAGCGAUCAAUUAAUUGAUCCAUUUUACUUAUUUCUGAUUAUGUUGUAAAAUCAAACACACACACAGUUAAUCAGUUACAUUGAUUCACUUAAAUCUGACAAUCUAUUGGAAAAUUACACUUGACAACAACAAACAAAUUGAAUAAACAUCGAAAAAGAAACCUGGAGUCCUUGGAUCGUCACACUCAUCGAAAGCACCGGAAACCAAACCCACGGCGAAAUAGCGUCCACCACUUUUGUACAUUAAAGCGCCACCCGAAUCUCCCCUACAAGCAUCACCGCCCGUUUUGGUAUCUA